AGAGUUUGAUCAUGGCUCAGGAUAAACGUUUGCGGCGUGCCUGAUGCAUGCAAGUCGAACGCCCCAAUUUUUCGCAAGAUUGAUUGGGGAGUGGCGAACGGCUGAGUAACACGUAAGUAACCUGUCCCUAAGUGGGGGAUAACUUGCCGAAAGGCAGGCUAAUACCGCAUGUGCUGGUAAGCGACAGCUUAUCAGUAAAGCUUUUGCGCUUGAGGAGGGGCUUGCGUCUGAUUAGCUAGUUGGUAGGGUAAUGGCCUACCAAGGCGAUGAUCAGUAGCUGGCCUGAGAGGACAACCAGCCAGACGGGGACUGAGAUACGGCCCUGACUCCUACGGGAGGCAGCAGCAAGGAAUUUUGCGCAAUGGGCGAAAGCUUGACGCAGCGACGCCGCGUGGGGGAUGACGGCCUUCGGGUUGUAAACCCCUUUUCUAGAGGAAGAAAUCUGACGGUACUCUAGGAAUAAGUCUUGGCUAACUACGUGCCAGCAGCCGCGGUAAUACGUAGAAGGCGAACGUUAUCCGGAUUUACUGGGCGUAAAGCGGGUGUAGACGGUUUUUUAAGUCAGUUGUGAAAUCUCCUAACUCAAUUGGGAGGCUGCAAUUGAUACUGGAGAACUUGAGGGCAUCAGAAGAAAGCAGAAUUCACGGUGUAGCGGUGAAAUGCGUAGAUAUCGUGAGGAAUACCAGUGGCGCAAGCGGCUUUCUAGGAUGCUCCUGACGUUGAGGCCCGAAAGUGUGGGGGAGCGAAACGGAUUAGAUACCCGUGUAGUCCACACCCUAAACGUUGAAUACUAGGUAUAGGGGGUAUCGACCCUCUCUGUGCCGAAGCUAACGCUUUAAGUAUUCCGCCUGGGGACUACGGCCACAAGGCUAAAACUCAAAGGAAUUGACGG
rnacentral:rRNA from 1 species